rnacentral:tmRNA from 1 species
GGGGGCGACCGGUUUCGACUGGGAGAUUCUCUGGGCUAAGUGGCGUGCCGAGGUUGCGUGGAUGGCCUCGUUAAUCCCCACGCAAGGCAUUAACUGCCAACAAUAAUUACUCCCUCGCAGCUUAGUCUGUGACGCUUCGAGAGUCUUCGCCCGCUGGGCUCUCUUGGCGUACGAUCGCGGGCUAGCAAAGCAAUCCUGGCUCGGGAGCGCCGCGCAAAAUUCAAUGAGCUGGUUGUCGCCCCCGCUGGCCUGAGUGCUAAGGCGUCAAUGAGAUUCGAACACAGGCUACGCACGUAGAAGCUUCUUUCAAGACUUCACAGGACGCGGGUUCAAUUCCCGCCGCCUCCACCA